GACGAACGCUGGCGGCGUGCUUAACACAUGCAAGUCGAACGGAAAGGCCCUGCUUUUGUGGGGUGCUCGAGUGGCGAACGGGUGAGUAACACGUGAGUAACCUGCCCUUGACUUUGGGAUAACUUCAGGAAACUGGGGCUAAUACCGGAUAGGAGCUCCUGCUGCAUGGUGGGGGUUGGAAAGUUUCGGCGGUUGGGGAUGGACUCGCGGCUUAUCAGCUUGUUGGUGGGGUAGUGGCUUACCAAGGCUUUGACGGAUAGCCGGCCUGAGAGGGUGACCGGCGACAUUGGGACUGAGAUACGGACCAGACUCCUACGGGAGGCAGCAGUGGGGAAUAUUGCACAAUGGGCGGAAGCCGGAUGCAGCAACGCCGCGUGCGGGAUGACGGCCUUCGGGUUGUAAACCGCUUUCGCCUGUGACGAAGCGUGAGUGACGGUAAUGGGUAAAGAAGCACCGGCUAACUACGUG
rnacentral:rRNA from 1 species